ensembl:lncRNA
UGGUCUCUUAUUGGAUUUAUUUCACCAAGUGGUGAAUAUAAAAAUAGGAUGAAAACAAUGCAGGGAAAUCUAGAGACCAUUGUUUUUUUUUAACUUAAUUGCGUUCAUUGUUUGUAAUAAAAAUGAAAUCCAUAACAGAUAAAAAAAAAUGCAUUUAAGAGCUUUGUGCCUUUCUUUGCCCGGCAAACGAGAGAAAACAAAGUCGGUAUCUUUGGGAUUCGUCUCAUGGGCUAAUAAUUAUACAUAUAAUUUGUCUACUACAUCAAAAGCCUAUAAAUAAUAUUUCCUCGUAUUUAUAUGCUGAAGUAGCAUUUAAGAUUGGGGUGAGGGGGGGGGGCUCUAUUUUACACUCAGAAAAAGGUCAAAAGAAAAAGACAAAUCAGAACGUACCACAAAGGUUCAAAGCGCCGGUCACGAUUCUCUGUAAAAUAAAACUGUAUUCGUGCAACUACAUUUAACAAAGGAAAAGAAAAGUACCACAUAUAUAACCUUCAGAAUAUCUUCAACUUUAGCAUGAGUUUGUACAAUUUUGCAUGUUUUUAUAUGUUUUCUAUUUCAACUGUAGUCCUCGGGGCCGGUACAAUGUCCCCCCCCUGUAUCAGCGACUCUGUCCAGUCUUUGUGUCAUGCCGCGCUCCGGCCUCGAGGGCCACACGCCCCCCUGGUGGGAGCAGCGCCCCCUGGUGGGAGCAGCGCUCCGGCCUCGAGGGCCACAGCGCCCCCCUGGUGGGAGCAGCGCUCCGGCCUCGAGGGCCACAGCGCCCCCUGGUGGGAGCAGCGCCCCCUGGUGGGAGCAGCGCUCCGGCCUCGAGGGCCACAGCGCCCCCCUGGUGGGAGCAGCGCUCCGGCCUCGAGGGCCACAGCGCCCCCUGGUGGGAGCAGCGCCCCCUUGUGGGAGUCCAUUCACCGUCCGUCUCCGUGAUGCGACCAGAAAACCUCCGUUGGGACACCUGGCUCCGCCCCCACAUCCGGCUCCGCCCAAACAAGACCGGCUACCCUUCAGAGGUCCGGCUCCGCCCUCACAGGCCCGGCUCCGUCCCCACGGGUCCGGCUCCGCCCCCAUAGGCCCGGCUCCGCCCCCACAGGCCCGGUCAUCUUUGGUAUCGGGGGACAGUGGAAUGCAUAGUGCAGAGACGCCGUGAGGAGGCCGCGGGUUUGAGUCCGGCCCGCCGUUCGGACUCAGCAGAGGGUCAGCCGGGGGGGGGGGGGGGGGGGUGGGUUCCCACUGCAGGGCCGUGAGGGGGAGGAGGGGGGGAGCUUCCUGCGUCCAGGAAGGAAGGAUCCCGCCAGCGUCGGACCGUCUGACUCACAAGAAUGUCGUAUUUGUGGCGGCCGGGCUCCUGCCCCCCCUCUCUUUUCUGGCAGGCUGUCUGUGACCAGCUGUCUGCUUUAUUUUCUCCCCUCUAAAAUGUCUCUCUCUCUCUAGCUUGAUCCCCCGCCCCCUCCCUCCAUUUUCCCUCAUUUCUUUGGAUUCUCUCGGCGCCGC